UACGUAGGGUGCAAGCGUUGUCCGGAAUCAUUGGGCGUAAAGCGCGCGUAGGCGGCCCGGUAAGUCCGCUGUAAAAGUCCAGGGCUCAACCCUGGAAAGCCGGUGGAUACUGUCGGGCUAGAGUCCGGAAGAGGCGAGUGGAAUUCCUGGUGUAGCGGUGGAAUGCGCAGAUAUCAGGAGGAACACCGAUGGCGAAGGCAGCUCGCUGGGACGGUACUGACGCUGAGACGCGAAAGCGUGGGGAGCGAACAGG
rnacentral:rRNA from 1 species